AUUGAACGCUGGCGGCAGGCCUAACACAUGCAAGUCGAACGAGUGGCGGACGGGUGAGUAAUGUCUGGGAAACUGCCCGAUGGAGGGGGAUAACUACUGGAAACGGUAGCUAAUACCGCAUACCAUCGGAUGUGCCCGGAUGGGAUUAGCUAGUAGGUGGGGUAACGGCUCACCUAGGCGCCGAUCCCUAGACGGUCUGAGAGGAUGACCGGCCACACGGGAACUGAGACACGGUCCAGACGCCUACGGGAGGCAGCAGGGGGGAAUAGUGCACAAUGGGCGCAAGCCUUAUGCAGCCAUGCCGCGUGUAUGAAGAAGGCCUUCGGGGUGUAAAGUACUUGCAGGGGGGAGGCGUUACUCGCAGAAGAAGCACCGGCUAACUCCGUGCCAGCAGCCGCGGUAAUAC
rnacentral:rRNA from 1 species